ACUUUUGAUGGUGAUUUGCUAGAUGGAUCAAUAGCAGGCUGCUCUGGUGGUGAUUUGGGCAAUGACAAUGAUGAUUUUGCUGAAUUUGAGAGUCAACAACAUGCAAACAAGAGGAAUAAGUCACAAGUAGACUCUUAUUUGGAUGAUACUCGACUCCUUUCAACUCAAGAAUUGGAUGUUCUCAAUUUUUGGAAAGAAAACAAAAAUCGAUACCCUAUUCUUUCUUUGAUGGCACGGGAUAUUUUAAGUAUUCCUAUCACUACAGUGGCCUCGGAAUCAGCUUUCAGUAUUGGUGGUAGAAUUGUGGGUAAAUAUCGUACUUCGCUCCUACCAGAAAAUGUGGAGGUCUUGUUAUGUACUAGGGACUGGUUAUAUGGAGUAACAGCUUCUGAAGAUGAUGAAGAUAAAGAAAGACUGAGUAUUGACUUUGCACCUUUAGUUGCUAAACUUACUAACCUUCAUAUUUAGGAAUCUUCUCUAUUUUGUGUUGAGCCAGCAGCAAACUUUUAGGUUGCUAUCUUUUUACUGUCAAGUGGAUAUUUGUAUUGUCACUGGCACUCCUUCAAGCUGCUUACU